UGCGUAGGUGGUAUCGUGUGUCGGAUGUGAAAGCCCAUGGCUCAACCAUGGAACGGCAUUCGAAACUGCGGAACUAGAGUACAGGAGGGGAGAGCGGAAUUCUUGGUGUAGCGGUGAAAUGCGUUGAUAUCAAGAAGAACACCGGUGGCGAAGGCGGCUCUCUGGAAUGUUACUGACACUGAGGCACGAAAGCUGGGGGAGCGAACAGGAUUAGAUACCCUGGUAGUCC
rnacentral:rRNA from 1 species